GACGAACGCUGGCGGCGCGCCUAACACAUGCAAGUCGAGCGAGAACCCGAGGAGGGGUAACCCUUCUCGGGGGAGAGCGGCGAACGGGUGAGUAACACGUGGGCAACCUGCCCCAGACUCUGGGAUAACCCCGGGAAACCGGGGCUAAUACCGGAUACUCUCGGCGGACCGCAUGAUCUGUCGAGGAAAGCUUUCACGGUCUGGGAUGGGCCCGCGGCCUAUCAGCUUGUUGGCGGGGUAACGGCCCACCAAGGCGACGACGGGUAGCUGGUCUGAGCGGACGGCCAGCCACACGGGGAUUGAGCCACGGCACAGACUCGUACGGGAGGCAGCAGUGGGGAAUCUUGCGCAAUGGGCGAAAGGCUGACGCAGCGACGCCGCGUGGGGGAUGAAGGCCCUCGGGUUGUAAACCCCUUUCGGCAGGGACGAAGCGAAAGUGACGGUACCUGCAGAAGAAGCUCCGGCUAACUACGUGCCAGCCGCCGCCGUAAGAC
rnacentral:rRNA from 1 species